UUCAUGUGCCUUUAUAGCUUGCUCUUUAUUCUUUUUUAUUAUCUCCAAUUCCAUUUGAAGUGGGUCUAAGCAUGUGUGUUGAAUCACCUCAGAUGUCAUGGAGGAAAUUUGUCGAGGAUGAUUGUUCCUAUGUUCUAGAAUACUGUUUAUGCUUCUAAAAUACGAAUCCUCUGAUUGACUUCCAACCAUCGUAAUCUCUGUGGACAGUUGUGGAAGUAAAUUUGGGAAAAGCUGCACAACAGAAGAGUCAGGCAGCUCAGGUAACUCCACUACAACUGGCUGUCUUGGAACUUGAGUGGGUGGAUGAGGAGAGUUAGGGGGCUGCAAUAAUAGCAACUAUAUCAGUUUUGACAUCCGCCCCGCGGGGGGGGACCUGGAAAUAUAAAUCUUUAUAAUAAAGAAUCAAGAAACUUGGAGGAAACUUUGAGCCUCCAAGUUUGUCACAGUCAGAUUUGAGCCUCAAUUUCUACGAGCAGACAAAACAGUUGCACAGCAAAACAUUAUCAGUUGUAAAGCUACCAAAUUAUAUGAUAACCAUGAAAAAUAGUAAUAUUUGAAAAGUAAAAAGAUGGUGUUGGACAAACCAUAUCUUCAUGUGCUUUUAUAGCUUGCUCUUUAUUCUUUUUUAUCAUCUCCAAUUCCAUUUGAAGUGGGUCUAAGCAUGUGUGUUGAAUCACCUCAGAUGUCACGGAGGAAAUUUGUCGAGGAUGAUUGUUCCCAUGUUCUAGAAUACUGUUUGUGCUUCUAAAAUACGAAUCCUCUGAUUGACUUCCAACCACCGUAAUCUCUGUGGACAGUUGUGGAAGUAAAUUUGGGAAAAGCUGCACAACAGAAGAGUCAGGCAGCUCAGGUAACUCCACUACAACUGGCUGUCUUGGAACUUGAGUGGGUGGAUGAGGAGAGUUAGGGGGCUGCAAUAAUAGCAACUAUAUCAGUUUUGACAUCCGCCCC
rnacentral:lncRNA from 1 species